GAUUCCUACGGGAGGCAGCAGUGGGGAAUCUUAGACAAUGGGCGCAAGCCUGAUCUAGCCAUGCCGCGUGGGUGAUGAAGGCCUUAGGGUCGUAAACCCCUUUCACCGGGGAAGAUAAUGACGGUACCCGGUAAAGAAACCCCGGCUAACUCCGUGCCAGCAGCCGCGGUAAUACGGAGGGGGUUAGCGUUGUUCGGAAUGACUGGGCGUAAAGCGCGCGUACGCGGAUCGGAAAGUUGGGGGUGAAAUCCCGGGGCUCAACCUCGGAAUGGCCUUCAAAACUCCUGGUCUUGAGUUCGAGAGAGGGGAGUGGAAUUCCGAGUGUAGAGGUGAAAUUCGUAAAUAUUCGGAGGAACACCAGUGGCGAAGGCGGCUCACUGGCUCGACACUGACGCUGAGGUGCGAAAGCGUGGGGAGCAAACAGGAUUAAAUACCCUGGUAGUCCACCCCGUAAACAAUGAAUGCCAGACGUCGGGGGGCUUGCCCUUCGGUGUCACACCUAACGGAUUAAACAUUCCGCCUGGGGAGUACGGUCGCGCGAUUAAAACUCAAAGGAAUUGACGGAAU
rnacentral:rRNA from 1 species